UUAACCUGUCACUAGCCCAGGCAGUUGUCCCUGUGUGCUUUAAAACCACCUCCAUCGUGCCGGUGCCAAAACACUCCACUGCAACAAGCCUUAAUGACUUCCAUCCAGUUGCACUCACCCCCAUCAUCAUGAAAUUUACACCUACUUCACUCA